AUCAUCAAAGCCACUCCUGCACAGCUCACAGAGCUGGGAACUGGAGCACACUGCACAGCUUGCAGACCACUCCGAAGGUUGGGAAGUGUCCUUUCCAGGGGCCUCCAUUGGUCUGAACCACUUCCAGAGCUGAUUUCUGCUUCUCCCAGGCAGUUGGUCCGGCUUGAGGGCUGAAGAACAUGCAUGUGGAAACAUCUUUACUCAUGAAGACACUGUGACAGGCACAGAGCUCCGAUUUAUCCAGGUGUUGGGAUGAAGAUGGCUUUACUCAUGAAGGACCAGGAUUUUACCUAAGGGAAGAACAUGCUUCAUAAAGAAGCAUUUUUAAAACCAAUUUGCAUGAUUACUGAAAUUUGAACUGGAACCUGAAACAGGGUAUUUGAUCACUGCAACAAGAAAUGUACCUCUAGAGUAGUCAUGACACUGAGACUACUUCACCUU